GCUCCGAGGAAUUGCAGAGAGCAGCUGGCUUGUUUAACCCACAGCUUGUGCAAUUGAUAAAUGAACUGAAUGCUGAAAUUGGAUCCGACAUUUUUGUAGCUGCAAAUGCAUAUGAAAUGAACAUGGAUUUUGUUAACAACCCUCAAACCUAUGGUAAGUUAAUUAUCUCAAUUUCUUUUUUUAUUUUUGAAAAAGAGGCAUGAUUUAUUUGCAUAUGAUCAUGAGAUAAAUUUACCUUUACUAUUAGAACAUGCAUGGCCUGUGGAAAUUAUCAAAUAUAAUGAACAGUAGAUGCAGAUGACCAGUGGGCAAAAGGACUUAUUCACUGGAGAGAAAUCUAUGGGACCAUUGAAAAAUAAAUGCAUUAUGUUGUGAUAGGUCUCUCAGCUUUUUAUUAAAUGCUGAAAUUAAUAUGGAAAAAAUUAAAUUAAUUUAAUUUAAUUAGUUUUUCGAUUUGAUACCCUAAUUAUAUAUUAAUUAAAAAGUGCAUAAUUGUGAUUAUUUUUGGCAGGAUUUGUAACAUCCAAGGUUGCAUGCUGUGGGCAAGGACCUUAUAAUGGGAUUGGAUUAUGCACAGUAGUAUCAAACCUGUGCCCUAAUAGAGACAUCUAUGCAUUUUGGGAUCCAUUUCAUCCAUCUGAAAGGGCUAAUAGAAUCAUUGUUCAACAAAUUGUGACUGGCUCCACCAAGUAUAUGCACCCAAUGAAUCUCAGCACCAUCAUGCUUUUGGAUUCUAGG
rnacentral:lncRNA from 1 species